rnacentral:rRNA from 1 species
UGGGGAAUUUUCCGCAAUGGGCGAAAGCCUGACGGAGCAAUACCGCGUGAGGGAGGAAGGCUCUUGGGUCGUAAACCUCUUUUCUCAGGGAAGAACACAAUGACGGUACCUGAGGAAUAAGCAUCGGCUAACUCCGUGCCAGCAGCCGCGGUAAUACGGAGGAUGCAAGCGUUAUCCGGAAUGAUUGGGCGUAAAGCGUCCGUAGGUGGUUUUGUAAGUCUGUGGUUAAAGCGCGAAGCUCAACUUCGUAAGGGCCAUGGAAACUACAUAACUUGAGUGAAGUAGGGGUAGAGGGAAUUCCCAGUGUAGCGGUGAAAUGCGUAGAAAUUGGGAAGAACACCGGUGGCGAAAGCGCUCUACUGGACUUAUACUGACACUGAGGGACGAAAGCUAGGGGAGCGAAAGGGAUUAGAUACCCCUGUAGUC